rnacentral:rRNA from 2 species
GGAUUAAGAGCUUGCUCUUAUGAAGUUAGCGGCGGACGGGUGAGUAACACGUGGGUAACCUGCCCAUAAGACUGGGAUAACUCCGGGAAACCGGGGCUAAUACCGGAUAACAUUUUGAACCGCAUGGUUCGAAAUUGAAAGGCGGCUUCGGCUGUCACUUAUGGAUGGACCCGCGUCGCAUUAGCUAGUUGGUGAGGUAACGGCUCACCAAGGCAACGAUGCGUAGCCGACCUGAGAGGGUGAUCGGCCACACUGGGACUGAGACACGGCCCAGACUCCUACGGGAGGCAGCAGUAGGGAAUCUUCCGCAAUGGACGAAAGUCUGACGGAGCAACGCCGCGUGAGUGAUGAAGGCUUUCGGGUCGUAAAACUCUGUUGUUAGGGAAGAACAAGUGCUAGUUGAAUAAGCUGGCACCUUGACGGUACCUAACCAGAAAGCCACGGCUAACUACGUGCCAGCAGCCGCGGUAAUACGUAGGUGGCAAGCGUUAUCCGGAAUUAUUGGGCGUAAAGCGCGCGCAGGUGGUUUCUUAAGUCUGAUGUGAAAGCCCACGGCUCAACCGUGGAGGGUCAUUGGAAACUGGGAGACUUGAGUGCAGAAGAGGAAAGUGGAAUUCCAUGUGUAGCGGUGAAAUGCGUAGAGAUAUGGAGGAACACCA